ensembl:snRNA U6 U6 spliceosomal RNA
GUUGUGUGCCUCCUUCAACAGCACAUACUAAAAUUGAAACGACACAGAUGAGAUUAGCAUGGCCUCCGCACAAGGAGAAAAUGGACAAGGUGGAGUGAAAACAUCAGUUAUU